AUGGGGCACCGUGGAGGCUCACGUGGCAGGCCUGCACGUGGCCUUUGUGUGGAGGCGACAGUGUGGUUGGGGGUUGAGGACAUACUUGCCCCAGAGCCCCCGGCUGGUCACUCAGCACGCUGGGCACGCACGUCUGAGGGUGGGGCACUCUCCCCUCGGGGACCCGCCAUCACAGAGGCCAAUGCUGUGUCACGGAAGCUCACGCUGACUCUCAGAGAGGAACCUGCGGGGAACAGGUCGUGCCUCAAGGGGUGUCUGUCCCCUCCCUCCCCUCCUCUCCCAGGACAAGGACCCAGCGCGGCCCUGCUCCAGCCAGGACGCCCUCAGCGCACAGCACAAGUAGGUCUGCCUUCCGGGCCUCCCUCUGCAGCCCGACUGACGCAGCAGCGGACAGCCCGCCCCGCGUGGGUUCACUGGGGACCCUGUUGGAGCAGCAGCCUGGGGGACGCGUCGCCGAGGACAGGCCUGGCUCUGGCGAUCACCGCAGGUGUCGGCGGGAGCGUCUGCACCCCUGCAUGGAGGGGCUCCCUGGAAGUGCCCAGGCCGCACUGGGGCCCACACAGGGCCCUCUGCAACCCGCUCGGCUCAGGCCAGAGUCAGCAGAGCCCCGGGUGGCCUGUCCCCGUCAUCCCCGUGCACCUGCCUGCACCUGUCCCGUGUCCCUGCACCUGGGAUGUGCAGCCAGCGGCCUCCAAAGUGUCUACACCAUUUGCACGUUCCCUAGAACGAAAGGUCUUCAGCUCCAACGGCACCUACUGGGAGGGGUCUUCCUGGGUGCCCAGCGCAGUCCCCCCCACGUUCCCCUGCAGCCGCCACAGGGGCCGGCUUCUGUGCUUCCUCUGCAGGCCCCACACCGAGGGCUGGUCCUGUGUACACACUUACCUACCAGCUUGUCUGUGGUUAGACACACACACACACACACACACUCACUCACACACCCCACUACAUACAGCACACAUGCACACCCCAUACCACACACCCCACCUGCUGCAGACACACCCCACCCUCAUGAGUGUAAGCUCAUGCAUGCGGGGACUUUCGCUCACGUUGUACGCUGACGUAGAGCUGCUCACUCCGUGCAGAGCUCAGCCCAGGACAAAGGCGGCCCUGGGCGGGCACGGCUGA
rnacentral:lncRNA from 1 species